UCUUCCAUGGCGUCGUCGGGGCCUUCCCCUGCCAAGCGUAGCGGCUCCUUGGCUGGAUCACCGUCGCACACCUCACCGGCGUGGUCGGCAAGAUCUGCAUCUCGAUCCUCGCCACUCUCCAUCCUCUUGCAGGUUUAUAAAUUUCGAAAUAUAGUUGCAGCUUCACGGAAUGGACGGCCCAAAUUAUGUUAGUGUCUAUAUGUUUACUUGGUGGUGGUCUAGCGUGAGUGACACCUGCAUCUGUAACUUACCCAUUGGAUGUUCUUCGAAAUCACCUGACAACACAGAAAACCACUAGGUAUUACAAGGGCAUCUUUCACACGUUGUCUACAAUUUGUAGAGAAGAGAAUAGUAGAGGAUUGUAUAAAGGCCUUUGGUCCACCUUAUUGGGAGUUGGACCUGAUAUAUCAAUCAACGUUUAUGUAUAUGAAUCCUUGAGGUCUCAUUGGAAAAUGGAAAGUUGAAUGUCAAACUGUGCGACCAAUGAUUUGAUAUGGUACCUCCCUCUUCUCUCUUCUAUGAACCCUAUAACACACGUCUCAAAUCUUAAUUUCUUUUAUCCUAUUGCAGGUUAAUUCCAGUUGGGUGUGUUAACCUACAGUAAUCAAUCAAGUCAACAAAUAUAACAAUGAUACUUUGUCUUCUGAUUUUUGGUGAUGAUUUUUUUUGUGACUGAACUAACAGGAGUUGAAGCAUGUGUUCUUAUUUUUUUA